GCUUUAUAAAAACUUUUAAUCACGUUCUAAUAUCAAGACGAGCUGAUUUAUUAUGUGGCCAGACCUGAAGAGUCUUUGGAGCGCUAGAACCAGAACGUUCGCUCUCUCAUUUUCUUCAAAGAAAAUUUCAGAUGAUGACCAGUUCAUAUUCAAUUCAAAUUCAAAUAUUUUUAUUCAAAAUAGGAUUUAAAAUCACUUAUUGAACGUCAAAAACUACCACCCAUUCAAAAGAGACUGCCUCAGACCUGAGAAGAAUGGGCGCAAGAUAAAAAUAAUAAUUUUUAAUACCCAGUAUUAUUAUACAAGGUGCGGAGACAAUUUCAGAUGAAGAACUCGCAAUAAUUUUUAAAACGCAGUAUCCCGAUACAAGGUGCGGCAAUGGAAGGAGUGACGAUUAAGACAGCAGACGAACAAAUGAUGCUUUUUGUGGUUAAAGCACUAACUUCAGGCAUUUGGACCUCCAAAGUUGGUUCAGACAACGUUCAGUUUCACCUGAAACUGAACGUUUUUUAGCAAGGAAAAUUAUACAGCGCCUCUAGCGGUUACUAACGUUUACUCGCUAUCGACUGUAAGUGAACGCACGUUUCGAUUGCAAACUUAUGGUAGGGGUACAAGUUCAGACAGAAGUUUGUUCCGGUUCUCGUCGACGCUAUCCCCAGAGAUGUUGACACAGCCAGUGUAAGAGAUACACAUUCUGCUGUCAUCUGCAUAGCAAUGCAUACCGCUGAUUUAAGUCAAGUCAUUUAAUAAUUCAUAAUUAACGUACCUAACUGUGUAAUAAAUUAAGGCUUAAUAAAGAACGGGGAUCCAUUUUU